GACGAACGCUGGCGGCGUGCCUAAUACAUGCAAGUUGAGCGAUGAAGAUUGGUGCUUGCCCCAAUUUGAAGAGCAGCGAACGGGUGAGUAACGCGUGGGGAAUCUGCCUUUGAGCGGGGGACAACAUUUGGAAACGAAUGCUAAUACCGCAUAACAACUUUAAACAUAAGUUUUAAGUUUGAAAGAUGCAAUUGCAUCACUCAAAGAUGAUCCCGCGUUGUAUUAGCUAGUUGGUGGGGUAAAGGCUCACCAAGGCGAUGAUACAUAGCCGACCUGAGAGGGUGAUCGGCCACAUUGGGACUGAGACACGGCCCAAACUCCUACGGGAGGCAGCAGUAGGGAAGCUUCGGCAAUGGACGAAAGUCUGACCGAGCAACGCCGCGUGAGUGAAGAAGGUUUUCGGAUCGUAAAACUCUGUUGGUAGAGAAGAACGUUGGUGAGAGUGGAAAGCUCAUCAAGUGACGGUAACUACCCAGAAAGGGACGGCUAACUACGUG
rnacentral:rRNA from 1 species